rnacentral:rRNA from 1 species
GAUGAACGCUGGCGGCGUGCCUAAUACAUGCAAGUCGAGCGCACGGACGAGAAGCUUGCUUCUCUGAUGUUAGCGGCGGACGGGUGAGUAACACGUGGAUAACCUACCUAUAAGACUGGGAUAACUUCGGGAAACCGGAGCUAAUACCGGAUAAUAUUUUGAACCGCAUGGUUCAAAAGUGAAAGACGGUCUUGCUGUCACUUAUAGAUGGAUCCGCGCUGCAUUAGCUAGUUGGUAAGGUAACGGCUUACCAAGGCAACGAUGCAUAGCCGACCUGAGAGGGGGAUCGGCCACACGGGAACUGAGACACGGUCCAGACUCCUACGGGAGGCAGCAGUAGGGAAUCUUCCGCAAUGGGCGAAAGCCUGACGGAGCAACGCCGCGGGAGUGAUGAAGGUCUUCGGAUCGUAAAACUCUGUUAUUAGGGAAGAACAUAUGUGUAAGUAACUGUGCACAUCGUGACGGUACCUAAUCAGAAAGCCACGGCUAACUACGUG